rnacentral:rRNA from 1 species
GCUGAACUUAAGCAUAUCAAUAAGCGGAGGAAAAGAAACCAACAGGGAUUGCCCUAGUAACGGCGAGUGAAGCGGCAACAGCUCAAAUUUGAAAUCUGGCGCAAGCCCGAGUUGUAAUUUGUAGAGGAUGCUUCUAGGUAGCGACCGGUCUAAGUUCCUUGGAACAGGACGUCAUAGAGGGUGAGAAUCCCGUAUGUGACUGGCCCGCACCUUCUACGUAGCUCCUUCGACGAGUCGAGUUGUUUGGGAAUGCAGCUCUAAAUGGGAGGUAAAUUUCUUCUAAAGCUAAAUACCGGCCAGAGACCGAUAGCGCACAAGUAGAGUGAUCGAAAGAUGAAAAGCACUUUGGAAAGAGAGUUAAAAAGCACGUGAAAUUGUUGAAAGGGAAGCGCUCACAACCAGACUUCUGGGCGGUGUUCCGCCGGUCUUCUGACCGGUCUACUCACCGUCCCGAGGCCAACAUCAUCUGGGACCGCCGGAUAAGACCUUAGGAAUGUAGCUCCCCUCGGGGAGUGUUAUAGCCUGUGGUGAUGCGGCGCGUCUCGGGUGAGGUCCGCGCUUCGGCAAGGAUGUUGGCGUAAUGGUUGUCAGCGGCCCGUCUUGAAACACGGACCAAGGAGUCUAACAUCUAUGCGAGUGUUCGGGUGUCAAACCCCUACGCGUAAUGAAAGUGAACGGAGGUGGGAAGGGUAACCUGCACCAUCGACCGAUCCUGAUGUCCUCGGAUGGAUUUGAGUAAGAGCAUAGCUGUUGGGACCCGAAAGAUGGUGAACUAUGCCUGAAUAGGGUGAAGCCAGAGGAAACUCUGGUGGAGGCUCGCAGCGGUUCUGACGUGCAAAUCGAUCGUCAAAUUUGGGUAUAGGGGCGAAAGACUAAUCGAACCAUCUAGUAGCUGGUUCCUGC